rnacentral:rRNA from 1 species
GAUGAACGCUGGCGGCGUGCCUAAUACAUGCAAGUCGAGCGAACAGACGAGGAGCUUGCUCCUCUGACGUUAGCGGCGGACGGGUGAGUAACACGUGGAUAACCUACCUAUAAGACUGGGAUGACUUCGGGAAACCGGAGCUAAUACCGGAUAAUAUAUUGAACCGCAUGGUUCAAUAGUGAAAGACGGUUUUGCUGUCACUUAUAGAUGGAUCCGCGCCGCAUUAGCUAGUUGGUAAGGUAACGGCUUACCAAGGCAACGAUGCGUAGCCGACCUGAGAGGGUGAUCGGCCACACUGGAACUGAGACACGGUCCAGACUCCUACGGGAGGCAGCAGUAGGGAAUCUUCCGCAAUGGGCGAAAGCCUGACGGAGCAACGCCGCGUGAGUGAUGAAGGUCUUCGGAUCGUAAAGCUCUGUUAUUAGGGAAGAACAGAUGUGUAAGUAACUAUGCACGUCUUGACGGUACCUAAUCAGAAAGCCACGGCUAACUACGUG